UGACGUUUUCCUUGGAUUACUCCCAUGCCUUCUCACUCUCCUUUGAAGAUGUGACGUCCUCCGCUGUCGCCGCCGCCGCUCGCGUCACACGAGCUCCCUCCACCGUCGCUCUCAUCGCGUUUGCUCCAUUCGUCGCCAUCGUCGCACGAGCUCUCUCUACCAUGCUCUUGUCUUACGAGCUCCCUCCGCCGCCGCUCUCGUCGCUGCUUCUUCUCUCCUCGCCGGAGGUUUGUCAUCGUCUCUUCUCGUCACCGUUAGUUCAGUUGAAAAUCAAAGAAUACGAUCGAGGAGAGCUCUUAUGUUUGCAAAUCAGUUAUUGCUGCUACAAAGAACUGAGUUUCUAAAUUCUAAGUGAAACAUGAUUGUGUGUUUGGUGCUGACUUGGAUUUAAUUGAAAUAACCUAUGUAUCAUGGGUAUAAGAAGCUUCCUCUCCCCACUUACUGUGCUUUCUUCCUCCCACUCUCAUAUCAACUCUGAGAUUUCGAAUAUUUUGACAAAGAUUUGUUGGCAAACUUACAUAUGACCUGUCAUGCCAGGUUCUCCAGGAGCUUAACCAUCCCAUUGUAUAUUCUCUAUCUCCUGGAACUAGUGUGACACCAACAUUGGCCAAGGAUGUCAAUGAGCUAGUAAACAUGUAUCGUAUAAUAAGAGAUGACUGGGAUAACUGGGCUAAUGUCAAAUCUCAUUUUGAUGUAUCAAGAGAUUCAGCUGCAGCUAGUAUGAUAGGAGUAAAAGGUUUAAAUGGGAAUUCAUGGCCUGAUUUGUACAUACUACUAAUUCUACUAAGAACAUAAUGGUUUAUGUUUCCUUGCUAAUAAGCACACUAUGAAAUAAUCAUACAAGUUUGAAAUUAAGUUUUCAUAGUUUGAUAACUCUUUUGCCCUAAAUUGAUUAGCAAAAAUUGCAAUAAAAAUGUUGCAUGAUUCAUACAUUCAUUUCAUGAGUAAAGUGGAAUGCUGAACAUGAUUCAGGCGCUGCUACCACUGUUUGAUCCUCCCAGGCAUGAUAGCGCUGAAACCAUCACAAGAGCCCUGAACCUUGGUGUUAAUGUGAAAAUGAUUACUGGUGAUCAACUUGCUAUUUCAAAGAAAACUGGA